UCUCUGGAGCUCUCCUUCCCAGUGCAAUUUUCUUUACUCCAAUACUCUUCCCUAUGAAUUUCAGCACCUUGGCCUCCCGACAUCUGAAUUCUGUCUUGUCAACCAGUGGACUUACUUUGAUUUCUCUCUUCAUGCUCUGCAUUCUGGAAAUUCUUUCCAGUCAUUAAACUAGAAAUAAAUCAUACAGCUCACCUCAUUUGAUGCUCUUUUCUCAGAUCUUACUCUCUUGUGCUAUCUGCUCAAUAUUUAAAAAAUCAUCAUUUCAAUAUUUUAUUCACUUUUUAAGGCAAACCAUUCAUAUCACAGUAAUUCAACUCUAUGCCCCAACCAGUAACGCUGAAGAAGCUGAAGUUGAACCGUUCGAUGAAGACUUACAAGACCUUUUAGAACUAACACCCAAAAAAGAUGUCCUUUUCACGAUAGGGGACUGGAAUGCAUAAGUAGGAAGUCAAGAAACACCUGGAGUAACAGGCAAAUUUGGCCUUGGAAUACGGAAUGAAGCAGGGCAAAGACUAAUAGAGUUUUGCCAAGAAAAUGCACUGGUCAUAACAAACACCCUCUUCCAACAACACAAGAGAAGACUCUAUACAUGGACAUCACCAGACGGUCAACACUGAAAUCAGAUUGAUUAUAGUCUUUGCAGCAAAAGAUGGAGAAGCUCUAUACAGUCAGCAAAAACAAGACCAGGAGCUGACUGUGGCUCAGACCAUGAACUCCUUAUUGCCAAAUUCAGACUUAAAUUGAAGAAAGUAGGGAAAACCACUAGACCAUUCAGGUAUGACCAAAAGCAAAUCCCUUAUGAUUAUACAGUGGAAGUGAGAAAAAGAUUUAAGGGCCUAGAUCUGAUAGAUAGAGUACCUGAUGAACUAUGGACUGACGUUCAUGACAGAGAUCAAGACCAUCCCCAUGGAAAGUAAAUGCAAAAUAGCAAAAUGGCUGUCUGUGGAGGCCCUACAAAUAGCUGUGAAAAGAAGAGAAGUGAAAAGCAAAGGAGAAAAGGAAAGAUAUAAGCAUCUGAAUGCAGAGUUCCAAAGAAUAGCAAGAAGAGUUAAGAAAGCCUUCUUCAGUGAUCAAUGCAAAGAAAUAGAGGAAAACAACAGAAUGGGAAAGACUAGGGAUCUCUUCAAGAAAAUCAGAGAUACCAAAGGAAC
ensembl:lncRNA